rnacentral:tRNA from 1 species
UGGGGUAUAGCUCAGCAAUAGAGCACUUGCUUAGCAUGUAUGAACCCCUGGGUUCAAUCUCCAGUACCACAA